UACGGAGGGAGCUAGCGUUGUUCGGAAUUACUGGGCGUAAAGCGCACGUAGGCGGCUUUGUAAGUUAGAGGUGAAAUCCCCGAGCUCAACUCGGGAACUGCGUCCGAUACUGGCGGGCUUGAAUCCGGGAGAGGGAUGCGGAAUUCCAGGUGUAGCGGUGAAAUGCGUAGAUAUCUGGAGGAACACCUAUGGCGAAGGCAGCUCGCUGGGACGUUACUGACGCUGAGACGCGAAAGCGUGGGGAGCAAACAGG
rnacentral:rRNA from 1 species